rnacentral:misc_RNA from 1 species
AACGCAUACUGCGCCCGCCGGUAUUCCGGCGGGCAUGCCUGUCCGAGCGUCACUACAACCCUCAAGCUCUGCUUGGUGUUGGGGCACUACGCGCGCCGUAGGCCCUUAAAAGUAGUGGCGGCGACGUGCCGGCCCGCGAUGGAGCUAAACUUCCCUUCGCGACGCCUGUGCGACCGCCGCCGUUAAACAACCCCCACCGGGCUCUGCCCGCAAGGUUGGCCUCGGAUCAGGUAAGGAUACCCGCUGAACUUAA